rnacentral:rRNA from 1 species
GACGGAAGGUGCAAGCGUUGCUCGGAAUCACUGGGCGUAAAGGGUGCGUAGGCGGCCGUGUAAGUCUGGCGUGAAAGCCCCGGGCUCAGCCCGGGAAGUGCGCUCGAAACUGCGCGGCUCGAGUGCCGGAGGGGAGAGUGGAAUUCCUGGUGUAGCGGUGAAAUGCGCAGAUAUCGGGAGGAACACCAGAGCGAAGGCGGCUCGCUGGGCCAUUCCUGACGCUGAGACGGCGAAAGCUAGGGGAGCGAACAGG